rfam:Microbacterium sp. RT33B genome assembly, contig: Ga0136747_11
AAUCAAGUCUUUAAGAGCAAACGGUGGAUGCCUUGGCAUCUGGAGCCGAAGAAGGACGUAGCAAUCUGCGAUAAGCCUCGGGGAGUGGAUAAGCACACUUUGAUCCGAGGAUUUCCGAAUGGGGAAACCCCGCUGGGCGGCGUGCCGACCCAGUGACUCCCGCCUGAAUAUAUAGGGCGGGUAGAGGGAACGUGGGGAAGUGAAACAUCUCAGUACCCACAGGAAGAGAAAGCAACCGCGAUUCCGUUAGUAGUGGCGAGCGAAACCGGAACAGGCUAAACCGAGUACGUGUGAUAUCCGGCAGGAGUUGCGUAUUCGGGGUUGUGGGACUUUUCAGGCUGUUCUGCCGAGCAGCCGGCGUUACAAGAAGGUAUAGACGAAUCACCUUGAAAGGUGAGUCAUAGAGGGUGCCAACCCCGUAGUCGAAAUGCCUCUCUUGACGCGAAGAGUAUCCCAAGUAUCACGGGGCCCGAGAAAUCCCGUGUGAAUCUGUCAGGACCACCUGAUAAGCCUAAAUACUCCCAGAUGACCGAUAGCGGACAAGUACCGUGAGGGAAAGGUGAAAAGUACCCCGGGAGGGGAGUGAAAUAGUACCUGAAACCGUUUGCUUACAAACCGUUGGAGCAGCCUUAGUAGCUGUGACAGCGUGCCUUUUGAAGAAUGAGCCUGCGAGUUAGCGAUAUGUGGCGAGGUUAACCCGUGAGGGGUAGCCGUAGCGAAAGCGAGUCUGAAUAGGGCGAUUCAGUCGCAUGUCCUAGACCCGAAGCGAAGUGAUCUAUCCAUGGCCAGGUUGAAGCGACGGUAAGACGUCGUGGAGGACCGAACCCACUUAGGUUGAAAACUGAGGGGAUGAGCUGUGGAUAGGGGUGAAAGGCCAAUCAAACUUCGUGAUAGCUGGUUCUCUCCGAAAUGCAUUUAGGUGCAGCGUUGCGUGUUUCUUGCCGGAGGUAGAGCUACUGGAUGGCCGAUGGGCCCUACAAGGUUACUGACGUCAGCCAAACUCCGAAUGCCGGUAAGUGAGAGCGCAGCAGUGAGACUGUGGGGGAUAAGCUUCAUAGUCGAGAGGGAAACAACCCAGACCACCAUCUAAGGUCCCUAAGCGCGUGCUAAGUGGGAAAGGAUGUGGAGUUGCCUUGACAACCAGGAGGUUGGCUUAGAAGCAGCCACCCUUGAAAGAGUGCGUAAUAGCUCACUGGUCAAGUGAUUCCGCGCCGACAAUGUAACGGGGCUCAAGCACGCCACCGAAGCUGUGGCAUUGAUAUUAUUGGUAGGCCUUCGUGGUCCAGCCGUAUUGAUGGGUAGGAGAGCGUCGUGUGGCCAGCGAAGCGGCGGUGUGAACCAGCCGUGGAGGCUACACGAGUGAGAAUGCAGGCAUGAGUAGCGAAAGACAUGUGAGAAACAUGUCCUCCGAAAGACCAAGGGUUCCAGGGUCAAGCUAAUCUUCCCUGGGUAAGUCGGGACCUAAGGCGAGGCCGACAGGCGUAGUCGAUGGACAACGGGUUGAUAUUCCCGUACCGGCGAAGAACCGCCCAAACUAAUCCAGUAGUGCUAAGUGUCUGAAUCCCACUGACGGAUCCCUUCGGGGUGAAGCGUUGGGCCUAGCGCACGACCCCAUUCUGGUGCGGUUAGCGUAUUAACAGGUGUGACGCAGGAAGGUAGCCCAAGCCAGGCGAUGGUAGUCCUGGUGCAAGUGCGUAGGCCGAGAGAUAGGCAAAUCCGUCUCUCACAUAGGCUGAGACACGAUGCGGAUAAAAAGUGGGUGAUCCUAUGCUGCCAAGAAAAGCAUCGACGCGAGGUUCUAGCCGCCCGUACCCCAAACCGACUCAGGUGGUCAGGUAGAGAAUACUAAGGAGAUCGAGAGAAUCGUGGUUAAGGAACUCGGCAAAAUGCCCCCGUAACUUCGGGAGAAGGGGGGCCUUCGACGUAUUAGGACUUGCUCCGAAAGCGUUUGGAGGCCGCAGAGACUAGUGGGUAGCGACUGUUUACUAAAAACACAGGUCCGUGCCAAGUCGCAAGACGAUGUAUACGGACUGACGCCUGCCCGGUGCUGGAAGGUUAAGAGGACCGGUUAGCCGCAAGGCGAAGCUGAGAAUUUAAGCCCCAGUAAACGGCGGUGGUAACUAUAACCAUCCUAAGGUAGCGAAAUUCCUUGUCGGGUAAGUUCCGACCUGCACGAAUGGCGUAACGACUUCCCAACUGUCUCAACCGCGAACUCGGCGAAAUUGCAUUACGAGUAAAGAUGCUCGUUACGCGCAGCAGGACGGAAAGACCCCGUGACCUUUACUAUAGUUUGGUAUUGGUGUUCGGUGUGGCUUGUGUAGGAUAGGUGGGAGACUUUGAAGCAUGGACGCCAGUUCAUGUGGAGUCAUUGUUGAAAUACCACUCUGGUCACUCUGGAUAUCUAACUUAGAACCGUAAUCCGGUUCAGGGACAGUGCCUGAUGGGUAGUUUAACUGGGGCGGUUGCCUCCCAAAAAGUAACGGAGGCGCCCAAAGGUUCCCUCAACCUGGUUGGCAAUCAGGUGUCGAGUGUAAGUGCACAAGGGAGCUUGACUGUGAGACUGACAGGUCGAGCAGGGACGAAAGUCGGGACUAGUGAUCCGGCAGUGGCUUGUGGAAGCGCUGUCGCUCAACGGAUAAAAGGUACCUCGGGGAUAACAGGCUGAUCUUGCCCAAGAGUCCAUAUCGACGGCAUGGUUUGGCACCUCGAUGUCGGCUCGUCGCAUCCUGGGGCUGGAGUAGGUCCCAAGGGUUGGGCUGUUCGCCCAUUAAAGCGGUACGCGAGCUGGGUUUAGAACGUCGUGAGACAGUUCGGUCCCUAUCCGCUGCGCGCGCAGGAAAUUUGAGAGGAUCUGACCCUAGUACGAGAGGACCGGGUUGGACGAACCUCUGGUGUGUCAGUUGUUCCGCCAGGAGCACCGCUGAUUAGCUACGUUCGGGAUGGAUAACCGCUGAAAGCAUCUAAGCGGGAAGCCGGCCUCAAGAUGAGAUUUCCAUGCCUUCGGGCGAGAGGCUCCCAGCCAGACUACUGGGUUGAUAGGCCGGAUGUGGAAGCGCGGUAACGCGUGAAGCUGACCGGUACUAAUAAGCCGAUGACUUGAUAAC